UCUAUAAAAGAGGAAUUAUACCCACGAUGACUGAGGUACGAGCACAUUUCUUGAUCAGCUUACAUGGUUUUACAUACAAGGCCAGGCCACUAAAGCAACCCGAAAAAUGGGGACCAACCAAGUGAUGAUGUUGCUACUACUCUUGCCUGUCUUCUACUACCAUGCCAUGGCUACAGCAUCCUCAGGUCGUCUUCCACAAACCGCCUUGCCUCUCGUUGAGUUGGAGCACAAGACCGUGGAAGCUAAAGGCGAGGUGAAACACCUUAGCAGCAACGAAAAUG